GAGACUACACGAAUUUCCAUCAUUUCACUCUGAAAAAUUUCUGAUAGUUGGGCAAAACUGUCUUAGAAAAAGAUGAAGAAACUCAGAGAACAAACAGAAAUAUUGGAUGGGAGCUGUACAUCUGCCCUGGUCAUCAUGGAAAUCUGGACUGACUGAACUGCACUCUUAUUUCCAAGUGUGGAUGUUGCAUAGCCAGACACUGAUUUUCAGAGUGGAAAGGAACUCCCUGGUGACAGCAGCUCUUGAGAGCAGGAUCAGAGGAGGGAUCUUCCUGAACUGAGCUGAAG